rnacentral:rRNA from 1 species
UACGUAGGGGGCAAGCGUUGUCCGGAUUUAUUGGGCGUAAAGAGCGUGUAGGCGGCUUGGUAGGUCUGCUGUGAAAACUCGAGGCUCAACCUCGAGCUGUCGGCGGAAACCACUUGGCUAGAGUCCGGAAGAGGAGAGUGGAAUUCCUGGUGUAGCGGUGAAAUGCGCAGAUAUCAGGAAGAACACCUAUGGCGAAGGCAGCUCUCUGGGACGGUACUGACGCUGAUGAGCGAAAGCUAGGGGAGCAAACGGG